UUUUCCAUUUGGUUCGUGUAAGUAGAGGGAAAAGUCGUGCGGCUAGUCGACUAGUGCGCACCAUGGCGGGGGAUAGCCGAAACUUGCUGCAGACUUUGCUUGAUCCAACCAAUAGACACCGUAAGGCCAUGUACUGUAACCUGUCAGGCUGUCAGCAGCAAAAGUGAAACCUGUUUGAUUUCUUAAGUGUUUAUUUCCAUGAAAUUUUCAUGUCCACAGAAAUUUUUAAAUAUCGUUUGUCCCCUUUUGCAUUGUCCGUGGUAGAAGAAGAUCGGAAAUAUUACUACCAACAAUUAGAACAUCUAAAGUGUCCUUUGGCAAUACCACUUCCACUUUUCAAGUGUGGAAAAAUUUUAAAAACAAUUAUCCCUUCCAUUGAAAAAUAUCACCUAGUUCAGUAUUUGGUUUUUGAGAAAAACAAAGAUGAAGAGGGACGACGUGAAGCUUACAAAAACUUAGACUCUGAACAAUACUUGUCAAACACUUUCACUGACAAGUUAUUGGCACUUACUCUUUCUAAUUUGGUUGUGUUGAUUCGUACUCAUGUUACCCAUUCUCAGUCUUUAAACUUGCCAAAAGCAAGACCUUGAGCUGCUUUACAAAAUGAUGGCAAAGUGAUUGUUGCUUUUUGUGAUUGUAUUGCAGGGUUUCCCUAAAAAAACAUAACUGUUAUUCUACGUAAACGAUUACAAAUGUAAUAUGAAAUAAACCUGAAACAAAAUGAUCAGAGCAAACAAA